rnacentral:rRNA from 1 species
GACGAACGCUGGCGGCGUGCCUAAUACAUGCAAGUAGAACGCUGAAGGAGGAGCUUGCUUCUCUGGAUGAGUUGCGAACGGGUGAGUAACGCGUAGGUAACCUGCCUGGUAGCGGGGGAUAACUAUUGGAAACGAUAGCUAAUACCGCAUAAUAGCAGUUAUUGCAUGAUAACUGUUUGAAAGGUGCAAUUGCACCACUACCAGAUGGACCUGCGUUGUAUUAGCUAGUUGGUGGGGUAACGGCCCACCAAGGCGACGAUACAUAGCCGACCUGAGAGGGUGAUCGGCCACACUGGGACUGAGACACGGCCCAGACUCCUACGGGAGGCAGCAGUAGGGAAUCUUCGGCAAUAGACGGAAGUCUGACCGAGCAACGCCGCGUGAGUGAAGAAGGUUUUCGGAUCGUAAAGCUCUGUUGUAAGAGAAGAACGAGUGUGAGAGUGGAAAGUUCACACUGUGACGGUAUCUUACCAGAAAGGGACGGCUAACUACGUG